GGAUGUUAAGACCUGUUUCGUCGAUUGUGUCCUAAAGAACGACUGCCAGUGCCCUCCUAAGGACCAUGGCGCCGAGAAGAAGACGGACGGCUAAGUUGACUGUAAUGCCAUGCCUGAGUUCUCAGGCGACCAUCAUGUUGCAAUAAUGAUGUAUUGUGUUCUUCCCUCAUCUCCCAUGCAUGCAUGCAUGUCAUCAUUGCCGUAUGCUUGAGGGCAGGGUUAUUGUUGUCGGGUGUCAUAGCUUAUAUAUAGCUGCAAAAUAAAAUGUUCAAGUGUGUGUUCGUGUUAUCACGUGUAUGGUUUCUAUACUGAAGUUGUAUGCAUGCAUAUCAUAUUUGUUAACCAUAAUAAUGCAAUAUUUAUGUAUUCCAUUUGCUUCUAUUUACUUUGACGCCGUUAUUUACCCUGCGGCCUUCUGGGUUUCUUCCAUAUGUUACACCAAUUUAUAUAUUGUUGGAACAUGCUUGUAACAGCCCAGAACAGCAGCAACAUUCUGGAGUGUUACCACGCUACACUACAGUUAUUACAGGCACACACAUAAGAGACAACAACAAAGAUAAAAGAACAUGGCACGCGGAAGCAACUUAAAUCAUCUAGUUAAACAUCUAACGAACUAGAUAAAAAGAGAUUAUAAGCUAAGCGAAAACUUCACAGCCAAAUAAUUUUAUUACAACACAUGUGUCCAAAAUAGAUAUAUGAAGAGGUGUGUGCACACGUGCUGCUACUCCCAGCCAACCAAGCACCCUCCAAACUCAAGAACCUACGGAGGGGAAAAUAGCGUAUGAGGUCUAUGGAAAACCUCAGCAAGCAAACUGCAUAAUCAUUAUUAUAAAGGAAGCACCAAAUAACUUUGAGUAGUAAGAUAAAUAAAUAUUUCACAAUAAUACUUCAUAAUAAAUAUGCAAAUGGUGCAAUGCAAUGCAGGACUCCACUCUACCAAAAAAUCCCCAAGGAAGGAGGUGAGGGCUGCAACCACAUUGCUAUAUCUUAACGUGCGUUGCUGUACCGGUACAUACCACAUAAUUCUGACUACGGUUUUUUCAUAUGCAUAAACAACAUGCGAAUGCAAAUGCAAGAUUGCAAUGCAUGAAGUUCAUAUACUUCAAAUUCAUAUCUUCAAAAGUAAAGCCUCAAGUGGAAUAAUAUAUAAAUCCAUUUCAGUUUAUCUUGCUAGUAUGAGGUACUGAAAUCAAAUGGAGGUAAUUCAAACAACAAAGUUAAAGCAUGUAGACCACAUUGCUACAUUUACUUGCCUUCACCGAAGAUCAAGAACGUGAGUUAAGCACGAUCCGAAGGUGCACCACGUAUUAAUGAACAUAACUCAGCACCAACACAAACACACAAGCAUAAGCAAACAUAAUUCAAAGCAUUCAUACGCCCGGAUCCGAUGUUCUCAAAAAAACACACGCAAAACUAGACAUGACAGCAGCACUGUUGCUUGUCUUUUUUUACCUUUUAAUCCUAUCAGCUAAAAAUUCCCAUCUUGUGCCAUCUAAAAGAUAAAAUCAUAACUUACAACUUUCUACCGAUCCCUAAAUAGAGGAAAACUCAUAAACAUAGGCUAAUCUUAAGAUGAACCUCAAACUGAAAAAUCUAACAGCAACUGCAGGAGAGUCCUAGUAAAAUAGGUAUAUCUGGAGCUCCAAAACUCAUAUGAAGAUGAACUUAACCAAUCUGUAAAUCUAAUAAAAUUUCCUACAACUCUUUAUUCAUUCAAAUAUCCAAUUCUAUCGUUUGUGUUGCCUAAAGUUUAGGUGAAUAGAUUCUGCCCAGAAUUACAUGUCUGAAAAACUGACAGAAUCAAACAUCAAUAUAUAUCAGCUGUUAACUCCGAUUGUGGUGUUCUUUAUGGCUAUGGAAAGCUCUGCAGAUCUUCUAUGACUCAUAUAUAGAUUUUAUAUUUUUUGAAGCCAUUUAGUUAACACAAAACAGACGUUACUGAAAACUGCACAGAUUGACUAUGUGCUGAAAAUAGCGAUGAGGGCAAAACAUUUCCCUAGCCCUUAACGGCGUCGAGUACCGCUAACGCACAUGCUAGAACAUUUGAAACCUUAGGGAAACAUGUGUUACAGCAGGGACAUGCGUCACCUAGGGUCUCCCCUUGGAAACAGCAAGGGCAAUGGCGACGGCGGCGAUCCGGACGAUUACUCCCGGUCGUUUUCCUCUUCCUAACGACAAACGUCACGGCAGCCCCGUCGAUUGCACCUAAGUUGCAACCUACAUGGCGGCACUACCAUGAACAGAGAGGAAUGGCAACCAAUUGGGGGGAAACGGAGAGAGCAAAGGAAGCCCAACCAAGUUUUGGAGAGGAACAGGGAUGAUGGACGGCGACGUACCCUGAUUUCCCUUCCCUUCUCUCUUCUCUUGUUCUCCCUCUCGACUUUGGAUCACGGCAAAAGGGAGUGGCAGUGCGGGGGAAAAACACGAAGGAAAGAAAAAGGACUUGGCAACGUAGCUGCAAGGGUACUGGAGCUAUGUCGUACUGUAGUAACCAUGGUGAAAUCUUGAACCAUCCAUAACUUCAUGACCGGAACUCCAGACAAGACAUAUGAGUGAUCAAACGGAAUGGAUUCGAUGAGCUCUAUGCAACCAUGGUAUCCAUUCAUCCAUCCGAGUGACGGAUCUAAAAGUCAACUUUUAGCCAUCAAUUUUAUGUAUUCGACACACAAAGCGUAUUUUAUCCUUUGCGCAUUCUAGGAGUUACAUUCUUCCCUCCUUAAAAGAAUUCAUCCCUGAAUUCACCAUUGCUAACGCAUGAACAUGAACCUGAACCACAUGUACAUAAAUAAUUACUUACUAGACUCGAAUAGCUCCGGAUAUUUCUGUCGCAUGGGAUCCUCCAAUUCUCAUGUGCCCUCCCGCUCUGAUUGAUUAGUCCAUAGGACCUUCACAUACUUGAUAGUCCUAUUCCGCAUGACACGCUGAGAGGAAUCUGAUGACACUCAAUAGUCAAAUCCUACUCAAUAAUCACUAGCUCGGCCUCCAUCUUCUGCUCUUGAUCUUUCAAAUACUUCCUCAACAGAGAUACAUGAAACACAAUAGGAUGCACACCACUCAUCGACUCUGGCAACUGCAAAAUCGAACAAUGCCUUUCAUUGGUGACACCUUGAGAAGAACCUCGUCACCAACCGCAAACUCCAUAUCGUUCCGUCUGAUAUCUGCAUAGCUCUUCUGUCGACUCUAAGGAGCCAACAAGUUCUAACAAAUCUCACGUACCUUAUCAUGAGUCUGUUGUACCCAGUCCAGGCCAACAAAAGAUCUCUCACCAAUGAUGUCCCAACAGAGUGGGGAAAUACACUUGCGGUCAUACAACGCUUCAUAUGGAGCCAUCUUGAUGCUAGCUUGAUAACUUUUAUUACAAGAAAACUCUGCCAACGGCAAGUGAUCCUCUCAACUUCCCUUCCAAGAGAGCACACAAGAAUGCAACGAGUCCUCUAAGGUCUGAAUGGUACGCUCCGAUUCAUCGUCUAUCUGAGGGUGAAAAGCAGUGCUAAGAUCCAAUCCAGUACCCAAAGCACUAUACAAACUCGUCAAAAAUUACAUACAAAUUUGGAAUCACAAUCAAGAACAAUGGACUUAGCACACCAUGCAACCUCACCACUUCCUUGAUAUAUAAUGGAACCAAAUCUGAAGCAGAGUUAGUAGUCUUCAUGGGAAUAAAAUGGGCAACCUUCGUCAAACUAUCAAUUACCACUCAAAUAACAUCUUUACCUCUUAGGGGAAUGAGGUAUACCAACCACAAAAUCCAUGGUAAUAUUCUCCCAUUUCCACAUAGGAAUCUCCAAUGGUUUAAGUAAUCUAGAAGGCCUUUGAUGCUCAGCGUUCACCUUCUGACAAAUGCCACACGAAGCCACAUAAUUAGCAAUAUCAACCUUCAUCCACAUCCAACAGAAACUCUGCUUCAAGUCUCGGUACAUAUUAGUCUCACCUGGAUGUAGCGUAUAUGGAGUACGAUGAACUUCUCUCAAAAUCUCCAUGUUUACUACAACUUUCUAUGGCACACAAAGAUGACCUCUGAAAUAAAGAGUACCAUCCUCCUCUAUACUAAACUUGUAGGGUUUCCCUAGCUCAAUAUGCUUACGAACAGCAUGAAGCAGGCGAUCUUGCAAUUGUGUCACACGUACCCGCUCAUGCAACGGCGACUGAAUCAACAACUGAGUCUCCUCACGGCAAUACCAACAUAGCACAGAGAAAUAUCAAUGUUGUCCGAUUCACCAAUCAAAGGCAUACAAAUCUUAGGAACACCAGUUCUCUUGCUAAACGCAUCUGCAACAACAUUCACCUUGCCAGGGUGAUACUGAAUAGUCAAAUCAUAAUCCUUAAUCAACUCAAGCCAUUUUCUCUAUCCCAAGUUAACUAAUUCUGAAUGAGAAUACACUUUGGUUCGAUGAUCCACAAAGAUGUCACACGAUUUGCCAUACAGAUAAUGCCUCUAAAUCUCCAAUGCCAAAAUCAAGUACAGCAGACUCUAGCUCUUGGGUAGGAUAAAUUUCUUUCCUAUUUCUUCAAAUAUCAUAAUGCAUAAGCCAUUGCUUUUUCCAACUUGGAUGAGCUCACAAUAAAGACCAAACGGGAAGUAUCUACAUACGCAACAAAAGCACUUACCACUACGAGGAAAAAUAAAAAUAUAGGCACUAAUCACAUUCAACUUUAGAGUGUGAAAAUUUGACUCAUGAUCAUCCACUUAAGAGGAACAUCCUUAUUAUACUAAUAUAUCCAUGGCUGGGCACGAGUUGAAAAUGCUAUGCCAAGUACUAUUGAAAAAGGUGGAGAACUCGAUUCUAUAGUUUCUAAUGUAAUUCUUGGUCACACAGAACCUCCACUUGUAACUAGUUUGGUAGGCCUUGAACACAUUAUUGCCAAACUUUGGUAACAUCUUCUAUAAGAUAAUUCACCACUCAUAACCUUGAUCGCAAAAGACCAACCACCACAAAGAGAUCAAAACUACACUAUAAUAAAGCAUGAGUGCAAAACAUCUCCAAAACACACCAAUCACUACAUGAACCAAGCUCUAGGGAGAUUGUCUUGAAAACUCAAAUCUUGACUUUUUGGAAAAAUGGCUGAAUGAUCAAACUUCCUUCACACUUUUCCAAAACCGAAUUCAACUACAAAUCUCAAAGUACUUCAUGGGAUAGUAGCAGCGAGAUGCCACUACAAGAACUGUACCCACUCUACAACUAAAACAAACUUAUAUAAGAACAAUAGCUUCAUUUCCUCAGCUCUUCUCGAUAUCCAAGAACAAUUGCAAAGGAAGGAAAGGAUCCUAGUUUAAUAACCAUGAAGGAUUACAAUCGUUGCACCACUAUAGCACCUCCGGCAUCUAAGCCAUGACACGUGUUGACGUCGGAUUUUGACACGUAUUUUUAAUCGGCGUUAAGGAAGGAGAAGAUUGGCCGAUACGGCGAGCUAAAAGCUACAGUUGGGAUUUGGCCAACUAGAGCUACAGUGUUUUGGCUGAUUGGCAAAAGGAGUCAGCAAGGAUUGGCCGAUUGGGAGCUGGGGCAACUUGGCCAGUAUGGGCCUAGAGUGGGCCGGAGAAAAGAUUAGCUAAAAAAGAAAGUUGGCCCGUGAGAUAUGAUAACCAACUCCGAUACGAGUUGUGUUUGUAAAUCUUUAUUGUUAUUCAAAAUUAGAGAUAGAUCCUAGUCGGUUAGGAAAUCAGUUGUAACAGGCUAUAAAUAGCCACCUCUUGAGGAUUUGUAAGACACAUAUCAAUCAAUACAACAAAUCUACUUAUUCCUCGCACUUUACUUUCAAGUCGGCGACUUCGCCAAAAACCUUUUCUUUUCACGAGUUCGUACGGGUUGGCAGGGCUGCAUCGACACGAUCUCCGGCCGAUUUGUAAGUUCCGUUUAUCGAGUAAUAUCUAAGCUUUAACUUCGGGUGCAUCGUUGUCGUUUCGUUUAGAUUUAUUCACCAGUUAUCGAUAUUUACUAGAAUUAUAGGUUUUAUCUAUUGUUCUAGUUUUAUCACCAGUUAUCCAGCUUGAGAUUCGAACUGUCGGCCUCAUCACUGUUAUUCUUAUUUAUCGCCAUAUAGCCGAUUAGAUCUGUUUCAAGUGUUGCAUUUGUAGCGUUAUUUAAUUUAUUCUAGUAAUUUCUUUGCAAUCGCUACGUGAUCAUCGGCUGCUCUAUAGCCGGUCAUCUCUACAGUAAAUCGGCCGAUUUGCUGAUACACUUUUCGAGACAGAUCGGAACUUUAGCUUAUCGAAACCCCUAGAAUUUAAUACUUUUCUUCCCUUGUCAAUCAAUAGGUCAGAUUGACUGGCACGUCGUGCGAACCGCACCAGAGCAAUAACCCAAACAGCAGUUAAGCAGAUUCUCCCGGGUUGUGUGUCCGAUGCUGAGGGUCAUCGGCCGAUUUUCAGCGCCAACAACACGUUAGACAUUCUAACAAUUGAGGCUCAGUCAAAGGAGAAGAAAAAACAUUGCGUCAUCUUGCACUAGCUCUAUAUAUUUACACCGACAUAGAACUGCAUCCUAACACCACUUUUUGUUGACUUCAAGUAAGAUCUAAAUGGUGCUCACCACCAAGGGUAGGUGAAUUAACUUUAUAUGUCUCCAAAUAAAUCAAAAUUAUGCUAAACUUGGUAGGCUUGCCAAGAGAGCAUGACGAUGCUCACUAAGAUCAAUCUCUCAACAUUGAAUUUGUCCUUCGGGAACGAACGUAUAAAAACUUCAAGCUUUAGCGCUCACGAACGGAUCAUGACACCGUAUUAAAUUGAUCACAUUCCAUUUGUAUUUCUCAAAUGCUUCAUAUCACCAUGACUCGGUAUGAUUAUCAAACUCCCGUUGCUGAACACAAUGAACCACUCCGCUAUGAAAAAAAAUAAAAUGUAACCUUUAAGGCCACUGUAACCAUAAAACAAAAAUAACCACACAGCCUAUACGCUUUGAAGCAAGGCAAUUCUAGCAUCCAAACCAACACCUCAAACUGUAGCGCUAAGGCCCAAACAGCAAGUAAUUACUCUCGUGGAACCUCUUGAAAAUCCUUUCAGGUCCUAUUCUCAUCACAUCUCUAGGACAAGCUAAAGAUGACCACUACUCUAUAGGGAAAGAAUGUAAACCAGAGGUCAAGCCGAAACGUCGCCACUCCACUACAUGGGACAAGGCACACAGCGACCCGCCCAUCUGAUAAGUCGAGAGACAAUAGUUAGGGUGCAUGGUAUGGUAGCCAAUCCAUCCGUCAUUCAACUAUUUCCUCCUUAUAUAGAUAGUUGGGACAACCCUAACACUCAGGCAACCUCACUUAGCAAAGCAGAUAAGGCGUUGUAGGGGCCCUCUACUUGACCCAUCUUCACUGCUAAACUAUACUUUGUCUACAAGUUUUCAAACUUCUUAGGAUCUCCGAUAAACUGCAACAACCUACCUAAGCAAAGGUAUUUAAGAUAUGACAACGAGAAACAUAAAACUAUACUGGUAAAAACAACAAGGUGAGGAAAAAACCCAACUCUCAACCUAUAAGUACAAGUGUGUCAAGUUUUAAGGUGAGUCAAAUUAAGCCUAGAACAUAUAACCUUAAGCUCUGAUUACCAACUGUAGUACCCUAGAACAUUAGCAACAUUCUAGAGCGUUACCAUACUACACUACAGCUAUUACAGGCACACACAUAAGAGCCAUCAACAAAGAUAAAAGAACAGGGCACGCAGAAGCAACUUAAAUCAUCUAGAUAAACAUCUAAAAAACUAGAUAAAAAGAUAUUAUAAGCUAAGCAAAGGCUUCACAACCAAAAUUUUUUAUUACAACAUAUGUGUCCAAUAUAUAUAUAUGAAGAGGUGUAUGCACACGUGCUGCUACUCCCAUCCAACCAGGCACCCUCCAAACUCAAGAACCUGCGAAGGGCAAAAAAGCGUACGAGGUUUAUGGAAAACCUCAGCAAGCAAACUGCGUCAACCAAGUCAUUUAAACCAUAAUAUAUUAAACAACAAUUUAAGAAUUAUUGUUAUAAAAGGAGCACCACAUCACUUCGAGUAGUAAGAUAAAUAAAUACUUCACAACAAUUCUUCAUAAUGAAUAUGAAAAUGGUGCAAUGCAAUGCAUGACUUCACUUCUACCCACACAUCCCCAAGGAAGGACGUGAGGGCUGGAACCACAUUGCUAUACCUCAACGUGCGUUUUUGUACGGUACAUACCGUAGCAAUCUAGCUACGGUUUCUUCAUAUGCAUAAACAAUAUGAGAAUGCAAAUGCAAGAUUGCAAUGCAUGAACUUCAUAUACUUCAAAUUCAUAUCAUCAAAAGUGAAGCCUCAAGUGGAACAAUGUAUGUGUUGAAAACAGCGAUGAGGGCAAAAAUUCUCCCUAGCCCUUAACGGCGUCAAAUACCGCUACACACACAUGCUAGAACAUCUGAAACCUUAGGGAAAACAUGUGUUGCAGCAGGGACAUGCCUCACCUAGGGUUUCCCCUUAAAAACAGCAAGGGCAACGUGUAACAACUCUACCUAAAUUAAGUGCUUUUAACUCUAAACCAGUGAUAAAUCCUGAAGUUAAGAAGUGAGAUGACCUUUAUAAACCUAAGAAGCUCUUUUUUUUGGAGUUCGAAUUUAAAGCUUGAAAUUCUAUAUACAAACUUAAGUUUCUGCCCAAAUAAGAGUUAUAAAACUUUUAAAUUCCAACAACUUGUGUUAAAGGCACCUUGACUAAUUCGGAGUGGAAAGGAGUCAAAAAUAGCAACCAAAGCCGGCUUUCUUGCAGGACCUUGAAAAUCUCUUAAGUCCCGGAAUUCGAGUUUUCCUCCAUCUUUGCAAGCUUUCAUCUCCCGUUUUCCUAUCUAAACUUGAGUCAGAGCCUUAAUAGAAGUUGUAGUACCUCAAGAGUGUUCCAACUUUGUUACACUAACCCAGAUCCAAAUCGGACCCGAGCUUGUUCAAAAUCCCGGUCAAAGUGAGGUAAACCAGUCAACUCACCCCGGAUGCUUAAAAAUCCUAGGUCUGGAAUCCCAGAUUUUUGGCUAACUUUGGCCGGAAAUAUCUUUGAAUCCUCUCACAAUCAAAACCGGCACCUUAAACAAAGUUUGAAGAACGAUCAGAGUUGGGCAAGUUUGUUUAAGGGAGUUUCGGGAGUUGUGUUGAAAGAUUCGGAGAAGGAUCGCUCCAAAGCUGGUCGGGCUUGUUGCCCGAAGGGAGCCUCGACGCCCGCGUGCCCGAGCAUGUUCGCUCGCGCGCCGCGUGGCCGCCGGCCACCGGCAGCUCGCCGGCGCCCUAUCACCAGCGCGAUAGCGACAGGACGAGAGCCACGGCACCCAACCCGCGCCCGCGACAGGACGGAGCGAGAGCAGGGCAAGCCAAUCGCCGGCCGCGCGCAGGUCGCCUUCCGCUUGCCACGGCUCUGCUCCGCCCACCCUGUUCCGCCCAUUCACCGAGAAACCUGAGAUGCCCCUGACGUCCCGUGUCUCCGCCCGCUCGCCCAACCCCCACGGUAGCCUUUCCGCCUCACCCGCCCGACAGACCGGAAGCCCCAGACGCACGCCGCCCAAGGCCAAUCGCCGCCGAAGACCACCUGGAGCUCCGCCUCCUCUGCCCAAUGGCGUCGUCGGCCAAUGGCUGCCUCGCCCGAGCACUCGCCGCUCCCGGCCUUAUCCUUUCCCCACCGGAGCCCCGCCUCGACCCUCCGCGCCACCCCGGCCCUAUAAAACGGAACCCCCUCACCGGCAAUGCCACCCCUUGCCACCGCCCGCACCUGCGCCGCCGCUUUCUCCUCUGAGCCACCGCUAAGCUUCCGUGGAACUCACCCCCUUGCGCCACCCCCACACUCCGGCGACUUCGCCGCCACCCUCAAGCUGCUUCUUCCAACACACCAGCCGCCCGCUCCUCCGCGCGGUACUAGAGCUUGCUUGUGUCCACCAGAAGCACCGCCACCGCCGGACCACCGUCGAAGUCUCGCCGCCGCCCAAGCCUUUGUGCGUACAACCUUCCGCCCCAGCCUACUCCUUUUCGACCCCAAGGCUUCACCGGUCGACCUGGAGGUAAGCUGCUUAAACUUUUGUUUCGGUUCGUCCGACUCCUUUGUUUCGGUUCGCCCGACCUCUUUUCUUUUCGUCUCGCCCGACCUUUUCCUGUUGGCCUCGCCCGACCCUGCCAAGUUCGCCGACCCUUUCUCCGCCUCGCCCGAGGGCUCGGUUGUAACUUUUUCUUUGACCCGAGGGUAUCGGUGAAAUGUUUUCGGGGAUUCCUCUGUGUUGAGUCUGAGGACCUUGGUAUGGUUUAUCUUAAACCUGAGGGUCAGACCCUAAGUUUUCCCCAAUCCGACCCUCUCAUCCUGCUCUCCACCAAUAGAAGUUGAACUCCCCCACCUUCUCUGUAGCUUUGCUACAAGUGUCCGUGUUAAAACAUGAGUGUGUUGGAAUAACCAUCUAAAUUGUUUAACCCCUGCAUUGCAUUUCCGUGUAGAGUUGAAUCUCGCCGACGGAACGUACGAGCUUCAUCCAGCACCGGAAGAAGACCCCGCUAAGGAACUGCUCCCCUUCGAAGGAGAGCCCGAACCAGCGCAAGACCCCGAGGACCCGUAAGCUUUUUCUGAAGGCAAGCCCCGGUGCCUGAACUCCCUGUUUUGCUUUCAUGCCACUUAUUGAUUACUUGAUUGCGCAUUUACGUUUCGAGGAGUUGUAAUGGAACCUUAGAUGCAUAACUUAGUACCUUGUUUUUGAAUACUAGUUGCUAAGGCCGAGUAGUUGCAUUGCUUAAUAGGUUUCGGUAAAAGUCGAGUGAUCUCCUGUCACUCGCGAGUUAUAGGAGAUGAAUGUUUCAGAGUUGUCGCAACUAUAAGGAUGACGGACGGGGUCAGGCUAGUGUUCAAUGCUUGGUGGAUUGCCCCGUCUGUCUAAAUGAAAAUGAACUAAGGUCGAAACGUGUCGGUGUUCGUGAUCAAGUGAUUGAAAGUACUAAUCUCAUACCUAGUAUGGGAUGGGAAAGCCUAGUACCUGAUUGAACUGGGGCGUGGCAUACCUUCCGGCUGUCCUUGGAACGUCGUUCCCAUGGUGCAUCAUGUGGGUGCAAGUGCGGUCACAGUGCAGCAAUAGGCCGAGACUGUGGAGCAUUGCAUGCCAAAGGAAGUUGGCCCUGACACGUACCUAAGGGAUCGAUGGGGACGGCUGACAAAUGAAGCGACCCUUCGUGGUGCGCGGAUGUCGUGAGAUUAGGUUUGCCAUGCAUGGUUAAUAAAUUCGAAUCGAUUCGUCUGGCUCUCACAGUUUGGGACUACUUGAUCGGUAUUCUGCACUGAGUAAAGAUGGAACAUGAUGAUGAUUUUAAUCUUGAUGUUUGUUAAGUAAUUGCCUGGAAACCAUGUUUGUUCAGUAUAAGUUGCUAAUCUAGAAUGGAUAAAGAACAUAGAACAUGAGUUAAAAUGUUGAAAGUAAGGACUGACUUUAGAUGCUUUUGGCAAGAAAACCCCAGAGCCAGAAAGCCUUGCAUGUCUAGGUCUCGGUCGUGUCUUUCCGAUGGGUCAGUCUUGCUGAGUACUAGUUGCUCAGCCUUGUUGUGGCUAAUCUUUUUCAGGUUUUGCCAAUAGCUUGGGUGUUGGUACCACUUGUCCGACCCAGCUUCCUCCAGGCUGGACCGUCGAGUGGGAUCCUUCCUCGGAUGGCGAAGGAAGGAGUUUUUGAUGUCAUGAUCGGCUCCGUCAUGAUGUCCUGUGUCGACGUUUAAGCUUCCGCUAGUUUUCCUUUGACUUCGAACCAUGCAAAAUUUUGGUUUGAAUUUUCCAAAAAGUCUGAUGUAAUAAAUUAUUACUAUGUUGUCAUGAUGGAAUGUUGUAAUCUCUGUGCUACUCACCUUCGCGUGAGCGAUGCUUCUCGAUCCUGUUGUGUGGUUUAUCGGAGGAAAUCCGACGGUCGACCAAGUUGACUUGCUUAAAGGGCAUAAUCGCGUGUCAGGCGACUUCAAUGCAUUUUAGUCAGGUUAAUUUGAGCGGUUCCGCCACACAACGGCGACGGCAGCGAUCCCGACGAUGAUUCCCAGUCGUUUUCCUCUUCCUAGCGACGAACGUCACGGCAGCCCUGUCGAUUGCACCUAAAUUGCAACCUACAUAGCGGCACCACCAUGCACAGUGAGGAAAGGCAACUAAUUGGGGAGAAACUGGGAGAGGAAAGGAAGCCCAACCAAUUUUUGGAGAGGAAAGGAGAUGACAGACGGUGGCGUACCCUAAUUUGUCUUCUCUUCUCUCUUCUCUUGUUCUUCCUCUCCACUUUGGAUCACGGCAAAAGGGAGUAAUCAAUACUUUCUUUUCCUCCUAUACAUUUGGUUUUAUUAGAAAUAUAUUGUUCUAUCGAUUAGUAUAUAUACUUGUCAGACUAUUCUUUAAUGCUUCUGGUCAGAGGCAAUCCGUCCGUUUCUUGAUCCUGAGUCCGCUAUCAGCUCUUCUUUGAAUCCGGCAACAACAUGUGGUAAAAAGUCAAACUCGUACUAGAACGCAACGAAAUCGCAAACCUUUCUCGGCAUUCUCGCGAGCAUUUCACCUCCUUGUGCUAACCAAAAUGUGACUCCUACUGGUUUAAUAAUUUCUGUAUAGGCAGCACCGUGGUCGGCUACAAACUCAACCAGAACACCACUUAUGAAUAAGAGAGAUGGAAAAAAGAGAGAAAGUGACAGAGAAAAGGAAAUCAGAGAAGAUAAAUAAAGUGAACAGCCUGUGUAUUCAGCGAUUACUAGAUCCAGCCCACUUCAAAAUCUCCUGUGGGCAUGGCAUUUCCACAUACACAGUUCCAUAUGCUAACUGCCUCUAGAAAUGUUUCCACAAAAUCAAUAAAAAUGACUUAUCCGUUUAGGAUUUAAUAAUGGUUGGAACAAAAGCCGUGUGGAACCAAGUACCUAGAGAAAUCGUACGGUGGAAGAAAGGAGGUAUAUCUAGAGAAAAGUACAAACAUAUUCCAAACUGGUGGAACCAAGUACUAAAAAUAAUAGUGGGACCAUCACCCAAUUUAAGUUGAUUUUUUAAUUACCUUCCUAAGAUCAAUGGCUAGUAAAAUUUCAAGAAAACGUAUUUAGAAAGUACACACUGGUACCUUACGACCAUUGUAAGAAAACUCUUUUGCUUAUAUUGAGUUUUGCAAACAAAAAUUGUUAAAGGAUAUAUCAUUCUAUAUAGAUUUAACUAUAUUUAUAACAAAAUAUACACAGCUAGAACACGAGGUUAGUUAUGUUAAAUAGAUUAUAAAAUGUGGUUUCAUAAUGUGUUCAUUUGAUAUUAUUUUAAUGUGCAUUUUGUAACGUGUCGACGUAGCGCCAACUUCUUUCUAUUCUUGGAUACCCAUGCAUACUCUGGAUAUGUACCACUGGUGCUCUUGGCUAGCUCGCAGAGACGCACAAAGACGUUAAAGAGCGUGAGUCACGACUUUGUCUCAUCUCUGAAAGCCUAGACCAUCGAAGAUUGACCUUGCUUCUUUGCUGGUCCUCCAGCCAUCGUGUAUCAUGCUAUUUUUUUCUUAUUAUAUAAACCAAUAUUCCGGUCAUCCAUGAGGAUUGCGUAAGGUAACCCUUGUACCAAAUUAUGAAAUUAAAGGUAUUGUGCAUCAAGGUAUGAAAUAUCUCACUGUGUCACAAAGAAAAAAACUUGUGUCUUCUAAUGCAAUCUAUAUGGCAUUUCACUACUACAAAAAAUAUUUUUAGCGGCGGUUGAAACCACAAUUUCAAAGGUGGAUCUAGCAACCGCCCUUCUUUUUGCAGCUUAAAAUAGGUAAUUUGCAGCGUCGGUUGUUGAAUUUGUGUAUGAAGUAAUAAUGGAAUUUAAUUUAGUUUGUGAAUGUGUUGCCACAACAACUCGUACAAUGUUGCAUCAUAUUAAUUCUAGCUUAUGCAAUGAUUCUUUCUUUCAGCAUCCUUCUCUCUUCCAGGUUAUCAAGCAUCAUAUAUGGCAGUGUAUCAGACAACUUAUGAGUCAGCAACUUGUACCAACGUGCUUGCUCUUGUAUCAUGAAGGACUCCAAUGAUAUGAAGAGCCUAUGCUGAGGACAACAUAGGAUCGUGUAUCAUGCUUUGUGCCAGUUGUUCGUUUGCAACUAUUAUUUGUCUGUACGUAUCAUGGACCAAACGACGAGUCACUAUCUUUUGCUUUCUGUACAUGCAUGGCACGUCAGUGAAGCAUUGCCUUCUGCUUUUGGAUAGCCGCACUACAUAGUUUGGAUAAGUAGCUUGUGGCCUUUGUAACGACUUGAUAUGUUCUUGGGAAGCCUCUCGCCGGCUCGCCGUCCAAGUCUUCAAGAGGCUGGUAUAACCUCUUGGCUGCGAUCAAUCAUGUAUCACGCCAUCUCCUGUUGUUUAGAUGAAAACCAACAUUCCAUGCAUGCAUUGAAAUAAAGGCACCAAGUGCUGCGUCAAUCAACGGUUGUUUGAAUGAUGUUCUCCAGAAAUACUUUUUAAAAGUGUAUGGUUUUUCUCUCCAGCUAUUAUCCAGUACAGUAGUAGCCAAUCCGUUCCUGAAAAUAGUAGCCAAUCUGUUCCCGAAAAUCAAUUUCUAGGUAUACCAAGGAGUGUGUAGGUGGUGGUGCCACGUUUUUUUUAAAAACUUUUAUCAUUGAUUUCUAGGUCUGGGUAACCACGUCAACCACCUUUCGAACUGCUAUUUUCAGGAGCAGGCUCAUUCUAUGGCCUGCCCCUAGAAAUGCAUUUACAAGGGGCAGGUCAUACCACGCUCCUCCAUAAUGCACGAACGGGCUUUGCACCUGCUCUUAAAGAUACGUUUUCGACUGGUCCUAGAAAAUAUUUCCAUAGCGGUGGUUCUUUUGCAUUUCACGUGUUUUCACCAAAAAAUAUUUUUGAAAUCCUCAUCAAAAAUAUAUUUACUAGCAAUAUUGUUUUUGCUGCUAGAUAAUUGUUGUAAAUAUGGCACAUAUAAUGGUUAAAAUGUGAGUCUAAGUUGAAUGAGGUAAAGUGAAGGAUCACAAAAAUCCACUGGCAAGCCAUUUGUAGUUCUCAUGCUUCAAUGUUGUCUUAUGGUGAAUCCUAUACAUUACCGCAUAACUUGUGAUAAUUUAAAGAGUGAAUUCCCUCAAUGUCAUUAGAAUUUUUAUGGAUUCCUUCAAUGCUAUUAAAAUUUUUCACUUCCUUUCACCGGCACUAUUAUAAAUUUCCACGCCAUUUGCCACUAUAUUGCCACUAUUCUAAAAAUUUAAAACUCCUACGUCAUAUUGCAUUAGGCUGCUGACGUAUAUUAAGGUAUGAAUCUCCCGAAGGAGAUGGAGAGCCUGUGCUGAGAUGAGUAUCAUACUUUGUGUCUGUUUUUCAUUUCCACGCUACUUGCCACUAUUUGUCCAUAUCGAAGGACUAAACAGCGUGGCACUAUCUUUUGCUUUGUGCACAUGCCACGUUGACGAAGCAUCACGUACCUUCUGCUUUUGGAUAGCAGCUACUUAUUCUCGAUAAGCAACUUGUGGCCGGUAUAGACUCCAUAUGUAAUCGCUAGCUAGGGUUCAAACGGCAAACGGCAACACCAACUAAUUUUUUUGAAAACAUUAGCAGGAGUUAUGCCUAUUCAUUUAAGUAGAAGAGAAUGUUCUGAUGGGGGUUGCAACAACUUUUGGUACGUGACUACCUAGAUAGUACAACGAACCAUAACAUAACUUUGUCUAAGCCCUCAGCAUAAGAGUUGUUGGCAUGCCGCCUGGCUAUGCCGUCCUGUAUCACAUCAUCUCCUGUUUUCAUCUGACUUAUGUAAAAGAUGCUCUCUUUUUUAAUUCAACUAUGGUUGACCCUACUAUUAGUAGAUCCAGCCCACUUAAAGAACCUCAUGUGGACAUGGCAUUUCCACGCGCAGUGCAUGCGGGAGCUGUCUCCAGAAAUAGUUCCACAAAAUCCAUAAAAAAAUAUCGUAUUCUUCUGAUUAUAAUGAGAUUUGUGAAGAAAUUUUUGAAAAGGAUAUAUCAUGAACAUGCCCAUCACUAGUAACACAGGUACUUUCCUCUAUACUGAAAUAUAUAGCUUUGUCCGAAGUUAAAAUACAUUCUAUUUCCCUUUUCAUAGUAUAAACCAAUAUUCCCGUCAUCCAUGCAUUCUUGAAUGCGUCAGUUUCGUUUCCAGAGCCUCCAUGGGGUAACCCUUGUACCAAAGACUAUUCGGUAUUCUUGUACAGGCGCACAAAAGACAUCAAGGAGCGUGAAUCACGACUUUGUCUCAUUUCUGAAAGCCCUCGCUCGGAGAUGCACGAAGACACCAAGAACCUUGAAUAUGAUGAUUCUUGGUAAAAUAAAUCAGCUGGGGUUUGUUCUUGUUUAUCUUUUGCGAGCCUGACACCAAUUGCCGUGAAUCACGAUUUUAUCUCAUCUUUGAAAGACCUCACCAUAUAUAAGAGGUGGACCUUGCUGGUGCUCCAGCAGUCCAACCAUGCUGUAUCAUCACGCUAUUUCCUUUUUCUUAGCAAACCAAUAUUCAAGUUUUGUGGAGAGCCUUCAUGUGUUAAACCAUGUACAUCACAUUAUCACAAAGACGCAUGCACAUCAAAGUUUUGAAUAUGUCAAGAAAAAUUCCUUAUGUCGACCUCUCAUGCAAUGGAUACGACAUUAUACAAAAACAUAGAAAUUAAAGCUAGCUAGGUUAAUUAAUAAGAUUUAAGUAGCCAAAGAAUAUCAUGAAUUUCUGUACCUUUUCUCCGGCAUCCAACAUACAUGUAAAUAUAUACUUAUGUUCUACACUACUGUAGAACAACUUAUCCAUGUGACUAUGUCAUCCAAUAAUAUCCAUGCAGUCCAAAGUCCAAUGUUACCUAUGGGUCAUCUGGGUCAACCGGCAGCCGCGUAGGGCCCGGGGCUCGAAUACACCAACCAAAGUCCAACUUUACCUAUGGAACAUCAUUCAAACUUCAUUAUCAUGAUCAAUACCUACCAGCAUAUAGUGAUGGGAGUUGAGCAUGAUAUACGGUGGAUUCCACGGAGUGACAGGAGUAUUCAAAAAAUUUCAAAAAAAUAUGAGUAGAAUAGAAGGUUUUGAGUUUCCUACUGCUUGUUGUUUGACCUAUAUGGUUCUAUUAAUUCAUUUAUUGCUCUAAUACCAUCCCUGUGGGGACUUCCCUUCGGAAAUCCCGCUGAUUACCUAUAUCAGUCCCCGGAUCGGUAGCUGAUACAGCCCUCAUCACAGAUUAGCAGCAAAACAAUAAAAGACGCAUAAAGUUAUGGAAAAAUAGUUUUUCAAUUUGCAUAGCGGGGUGGUGCAGUUGCCCACUCCACAGCCAGAAUGAAUCUGGAACUUCUAACCUAUUCGACAGAAGCAAGGCUGAGUAUACUUAUGGUUUGUAAUCCUAGCAUUAAAAUUAUAUAAAAUGCAUAUAUGAUCAAGGAAAGGAAGAGGAGGUUUGGUUUUAUCAAGAGACUCAUUUUAUGUAAGGUGAUGUGAGUUUUGGGAAAGGAAAAGAAAGAAAGCCCUUUUACGAAGUUGUUGGCCCCGGAGGGGGAAUGCAUGACGGCCGACAAGGAUAGGGCGGUCGGAGGUGAUGCAUGGCGAGGGCGAGGGGGGAAGUACGGCAAGGAUAAGGGAGGAGGGGGGGGAUGGGGCUGCCUUGCUUGGGGUGAAGGUGGCCAAGGGGAGCCGCACCGGCGGGGCGGCGCUGGGCGCGGCAACACUGGCGAGCGGGCGCAGGCCACGCAUUAGCGGGCUGUGGCGGAGGGCGCCAGUGCGAGCGGGCCGUGUGUGCGUGCUGGGUUGACUCGGGCAUGGGAGGUAGCGGAGGUGAGCAGGGCCGAAAUGGGGAGUGGCCGAAACGGAGGUUGCGGCCCAUUCGACAUUCUGGUUUGGUUUUUCAUUUUUUUGAGAAUAGGUUUGAAUCCAAAUUUUAAAUGGAUUUCAAAUUUAAAUGAAAUUUGAGUUGCAGACUAGGAUUAGACAUGAAAUUAGGGCUUUUUCGAAGAGUUUGAGGUUUAAUGAUAUUUGAGUAUGGCUAGAUUUGAAUAGAGGCAUCGUAGAGGUUUGGAUGAAAUUAAUAUUCAAAUUAAAUUGGAUAUCACUUCUAGGAUUUUAGGAAAAUAAAUAUUAUUCCUAGGAUAUUAGGGAUUUAAAUAAUCUGAUGAUGAGAGGGGUUUGGCAUAGACUCAAGGAUUUGCAUAUUGGAUUUAGAUAAUAUUUAGAUGGAAUUCGGCAUAGGGUCUGGAUGGAGUUAAUAUUUGAAUGAAAUGCAAAUAUUCUUCCCAAGGUUUCUGGAAAGAGAAGUUUAUCGAGAAAAUACUUCUAGGAUUGGAGAGAAAAGAGUGUUCACGAAGAGUUCCAAGGGCACCCAAAUGCAACACACAUGAUGGUAAUUAAUGCAAGAUUUACUUAUAAAAAGGUUUUGAAUAUUUGGGGAAAAUUAUGUUUAGUUUAUAGUAAAGGUUAUUUGUUGUCGGUGUCGCAGCAUAUAUACAUUUGCAGUCACUAUGACUGCAUUAUGUAUAGCUGCAAGAUAAAUGUGUAAGUGUGUGUGCUAUAAUUGUAUGGCUUUAAUUUAACAUUUAUGCAUCCAUACCACAGUAUAUGUAUUUGUCAACCACAAUAAUAAUAUAAUAUCGGUGUACUACAUCUCCUGUCUUCAAUUUGCUUAUUUACUUUUGAUGCUUCUAGGGUUUUUCCAUUAUACACUAACUUAUCUAUAGCUAGCCAUAUAACUGGAACAUACCAUAUAAAGUCCAAACCAUCGACAACUGGAACAUGCCAUAUAAGCCCUCCUUUCGUGCCUCGUGCCGCUCCCACUCUAGACUUUUAGGCACGUUGGGCCAUGACGACACGGAAUGACAAUAAGUUUUUUCCUAGGCCCAUGCACGACCCAUGGCAUGGUGGCAUGGCUCUCAGAAUAUAUGAUGCUACCAUUCGUCUUCUCACGUAUAUAGUUUCUAAAUUAGUAGAGGGAUUGAACUUGGAUAUAUAGAUUGUGGCUAUUGUAAUGACUUGAUAUAUUCUUGGAAAGCCCUCGCCGUCCUAGAGGCUGGCAAGACUGCUUGGCUGCCAGCACUCGUGUAUCACGCCAUCUCCUAUUUUUUAGUGCAAACCAACAUACCUGUAAAAUACUAAUGUUCUACACUACGGUAGAACAACUCAUCUACGGAUUGAACAUGGAUAUAUGACAUUGUAGGUUGAUGUUAGGAUUGCCCGUGGUGGGGAGGCUGCAAAAUUUAAGAUUUUAUAAAUAUUUAUUUGUAUGAUUCUAAUCAUGAAAGGUAGAUUUUAUGAUUUUCUUAUGUGAACAUUGUUUAUGCCAAGCUUUAUGGAAGGCGGCAUGGACGAUUUUCAAAGGACCAGCUGUAGAUUAGCUGAUGGGCUAUUUUUGUGCCAUCCUAGUCCAAGCACAGCUGAGAUACCAUACGUGUCUGUGCUGUGCUGCCCAUCAUGCUGAGGUUCUUGGCAUGGCACGGCUCUUGUGUUUGUGUCGUGCUAGCACGUCCCAAAAUUUAUCGUGUCGUACCGUAAUUUGGCUAUGCCAAAAUAUCAUGUUUCAGUUGGUCCAUAAAUAACACGGACCAGGUCACAGCUGAAAUUUUAGCCAUACCCUUGUUAUUUGUGAAUAGGAAAUGUUGGUUCUCAGUAAAUUGCUCUGACGAUUACUUCUUCCAUCUGGAAAAAAUAAGUGUGUACUUUAUUCCAAAACUACAGGUGGUCCAGUCCUCGUGAUGUCUGUCGUUAAGCAAUUGCCUAUUCUUCAAGCUUGCACAGACGCACAAUGACACUAAGGUGCGUGAAUCACGACUUUGCCUCGUCUUUGAAAGCCCUCGCAAUUAGAUCGACCUUUAUUGCUGCUCGCUGUUGAUGCACAAAGCUAGACACCAAGAACCUUAAAUAUGGCGAUUUUUGGUAAAAUAUAUCAGAUGCUGUUUGUUCUUUCCUACCUUUCGCGCGAGCUUGACAACAAGUGCCGUGAAUCACGACUUUGUCCAUCUUUGAAAGACCUCACCAUCAGGGAUGGACCUUGCUGGUACCUGUUCCACCAGACGUCCUGUAUCAGGCUAUCUCCUUUUUCUUUGCAAACCAAUAUUCCCUGCAUGCAUGGAUGACGGAUGCUUAAAGACACAGAGUGCGUGCGUGAAAAUCGUUUUGUGGAUCCUACACGAGCUAAACCUUGUACAGCAUAUUAACAUAAAGACUAUGUUAUGCAUCAAUGUUUUGAAUAUCUCACUAUCUAUGAUAGGAAGAAAAACUCCUUAAAAGACAUUAUAUGAAAACAUUGAAGCUGGGUUAAGUAAAUAAGAUUUAACUAGCCAAAGAACACUUUGAAUUCCUGUACCUUUUUUCCCGGCAUCCAACAUACAUGUAAAUACUAAUGUUCUACACUACGGUAGAACAACUCAUCUACGUGAACCUAUCCAUGCUAGUUCAAAGCCCAAGUUUACCGAUGGGUCAUGCCGCGCAGGGGCUCUAACACAAUGACCAGCAUGGAUACAUAAUAUGUGCGUAGGAUAUUGAACAAGCCCGGCGAAAUGGAUACUCUGGUUACAACAUCAAAAUAAUUAAAAACCCAUUAAUUAUGGAAGUUUUCUUUGAAUUCAGCUAGCGAUAUGGUUCCAGUUGAUCAUUAAUAUAGCAGUGUUUCAGAGCAAAUUGCCUUAUGCAGCUUAAUUAUUUAGCCCCUAUUAGAUCCCUUCAAAAUGAAGAAUUUGAAGGGAUCCAACUCGCAGCCUCAACUAAGAGAGAUGAUUCAUACAAUGAUCAGGCUUUACUAUUUGCUCUAGAGAGAUGAUUCACGCAGACAUUUACAUUAUUUUUGAAACCUAAUCUCCAAGCCAUCGUCUCCGAUUUUAAUUUGAAUGAACUAAAGCAUUGGCAGAUGACACUUGGCCAUCAUUAGACCAGAGAAGGGUUUUUUUCAGUAACCCGCUUGAGAUAGUGCUUUGACGCGUAAGUAUUUUUGGCAAGCAAUUGCUGCUACACCCCAUCCUCAGUAAAAAGCAUAAGUGAAAAUCUCUUCACUUUGUAAAUCCCUCUCCUGACUCAAACUAGCAGUUCUAUUCUUCAAAGGUUCAUACCUGUAACAUUAACCAUCCUCAGUCAUCCUAAGUUCACAUUGUGCAUGCAUGCAUUGCACAACAAGCAAAGGCACAAGGAAUGUGCUUGUGGCUCUGUGGGCCGGGGAACUCCCCCACAGUUUAUCUGAAAAAAAAUUGUGCAUGUCGCUCAUUUUGUAUUAUUCCUAGGCCUAGAAAAAUGAUGAGCUGUUUUUUGGCCUUUUCUUUCUUAGAGACCGAAGAGAAGAGAAAGAAUGGGGCAUUCGCUCCCUAUAAAUACAGCAUGCUUGUAGCUGCACGAGCAUCAGCAGCUCGCAGCUUGAUAAGCACAUAUUCCAUUCACAGUAAUAGCAAAGCAUCGAAAUGGCUUCUGCUGCUAAGACCAAGAUGGUUGCCAUUGGCAUUAUGAUGGCCAUCCUGUUCGUCGGGAUAGCCUCUGCUACGCCGGCACAAGAGGUGUGCGUGGACACGACAAAAGAAGUUCCACGCGACGACACCUGCAUCUGCUCUAAGAACUGUGCCUGUGCUGGCAUGUGCAUCCUGCAGGGUGAGGGGGAUGUUAAGACCUGUUUCGUCGAUUGUGUCCUAAAGAACGACUGCCAGUGCCCUCCUAAGGACCAGGGCGCCGAGAAGAAGACGGACGGCUAAGUUGACCGUAAUGCCAUGCCUGAGUUCUCAGGCCACCAUCAUGUUGCAAUAAUGAUGUAUUGUGUUCUUCCCUCAUCUCCCAUGCAUGCAUGCAUAUGUCAUCAUUGCCGUAUGCUUGAGGGCAGGGUUAUUGUUGUCGGGUGUCAUAGCUUAUAUAUAGCUGCAAAAUAAAAUGUUCAAGUGUGUGUUUGUGUUAUCACGUGUAUGGUUUCUAUAUCGAAGUUGUAUGCAUGCAUAUCAUAUUUGGUAUCCAUAAUAAUGUAAUAUUGAUGUACAUGUGAUGUGUUCCAUUUGCUCCUAUUUACUUUGACGUCGUUAUUUACUCUACGGCCUUCUGGGUUUCUUCCAUAUGGUACACCAACUUAUAUAUUGUUGGAACAUGCUUGUAACACCUCAAAACAGCAGCAAAGAUAAAAGAACAGGGCACACGGAAGCAACUUAAAUCAUCUAGAUAAACAUCUAACAAACUGGAUAAAAACAGAUUAUAAGCUAAGCAAAGGUUUCACAACCAAAAAUUUUUAUUACAACAUAUGUGUCCAAAAUAUAUAUAUGAAGAGAUGUGUGCACACGUGCUGUUACUCCCAUCCAACUAGGCACCCUCCAAACUCAAGAACCUGCGAAGGGGAAAAAAGCGUACGAGGUUUAUGGAAAACCUCAGCAAGCAAACUGCGUCAACCAAGUCAUUUAAACCAUAAUAUAUUAAGCAACAAUUUAAGAAUUAUUGUUAUAAAAGAAGCACCACAUCACUUCGAGUAGUAAGAUAAAUAAAUACUUCACAACAAUACUUCAUAAUGAAUAUGAAAAUGGUGCAAUGCAAUGCAUGACUUCACUUCUACCCACACAUCCCCAAGGAAGGACGUGAGGGCUGGAACCACAUUGCUAUAUGUCAACGUGCGUUAUUGUACCGGUACAUACCGUAGCAAUCCACCUACGGUUUCUUCAUAUGCAUAAACAAUAUGAGAAUGCAAAUGCAAGAUUGCAAUGCACGAACUUCGUAUACUUCAAAUUCAUAUCAUCAAAAGUGAAGCCUCAAGUGGAACAAUGUAUGUGGUGAAAACUGCGACGAGGGCAAAAAUUCUCCCUAGCCAUUAACGGCGUCGAGUACCGCUACACACACGUGCUAGAACAUCUGAAACCUUAGGGAAAACAUGUGUUGCAGCAGGGACAUGCCUCACCUAGGGUUUCCCCUUAAAAACAGCAAGGGCAACGGCAACGGCGGCGAUCCCGACCAUGAUUCCCACUCGUUUUCCUCUUCCUAGCGACGAACGUCACGGCAGCCCCGUCGAUUGCACCUAAAUUGCAACCUACAUAGCGGCAACACCAUGAACAGCGAGGAAAGGCAACUAAUUGGGGGGAAACUAGACAGCGAGGAAAGGCAACUAAUCGGGGGGAAACUGGGAGAGGAAAGGAAGCCCAACCAAUUUUCGGAGAGGAGCGGAGAUGAUGGAUGGUGGCGUACCCUAAUUUCCCUUCUCUUCUCUCUUCUCUUGUUCUCCCUCUCCACUUUGGAUCACAGCAAAAGGGAGUGAUGGCGCUGGGGUAGGAGGCGUAGGGGUAUAGGGCUUAGAAAAGGAGAGGUGGGCCGGCAAGGGAAAACACGAAGGAAGAAAAAGGAAUCGGCUACUGUAGCCGCAAGGGUACUGUAGCUAUGGGGCCAUGGCGAAAUCUUGAACCGUCCAUGACUUCAUGACUGGAACUCCAGACAAGACAUAUCAGUGAUCAAAUAGAAUGGAUUCGAUGAGCUCUAUGCAAAUAUGGCAUCCUUUCGUUCAUCCGAGCGACGGAUCUAAAAGUCAACUUUUAGCCAUCAACUUUAUGUAUUCCGACGUACAAAGCGUAUUUUAUCCUUGCCGCAUUCUGGGUGUUACAAUGCUAUAAAAUUCAAACCGUCCCCUCGUCAAUUGUGUCACAUGUGGACUUGUAAUUGAAAUAGUUAGGGGUGUAAUUUGCAUGGAUAAUUUCCACUACGAAUCUUCAUCUUUUGUUUUUAGGAUAUGCAUGCUAACAACUUUUAUGUAUCCAGUUGGAUAUUUGAAGGAUAUGUUAUCUUCUCUAUCGAGCUGUAGAUUAAUGUAGCUAUUAUUCAAAUAAGAAUCCUGCUUGACACAAACACUCUGAUAGGAUGACAAUCGGUGUUUAUCUUGCUCACAAAUAUCUUUGGGCUUGAGAAUCAAGAACAUGAAGCACUUCCCUAAUGCUUGCACACCAGCUUGGCCGCACAAUACUGUUACAACUUAAAUUAUAUGUUGAGAAAUUUUAUAGAAGUUUGACAAAAGGAUAUGUCUAACGCUAUGUUAAUAGAUUAUAAUAAAUUUACGAGUAACCAAUACUUUCUUUUCCUCCUAUACAUUUGGUUUUAUUAGAAAUAUAUUGUUCUAUCGAUUAGUAUAUAUACUUGUCAGACUAUUCUUUAAUGCUUCUGGUCAGAGGCAAUCCGUCCGUUUCUUGAUCCUGAGUCCGCUAUCAGCUCUUCUUUGAAUCCGGCAACAACAUGUGGUAAAAAGUCAAACUCGUACUAGAACGCAACGAAAUCGCAAACCUUUCUCGGCAUUCUCGCGAGCAUUUCACCUCCUUGUGCUAACCAAAAUGUGACUCCUACUGGUUUAAUAAUUUCUGUAUAGGCAGCACCGUGGUCGGCUACAAACUCAACCAGAACACCACUUAUGAAUAAGAGAGAUGGAAAAAAGAGAGAAAGUGACAGAGAAAAGGAAAUCAGAGAAGAUAAAUAAAGUGAACAGCCUGUGUAUUCAGCGAUUACUAGAUCCAGCCCACUUCAAAAUCUCCUGUGGGCAUGGCAUUUCCACAUACACAGUUCCAUAUGCUAACUGCCUCUAGAAAUGUUUCCACAAAAUCAAUAAAAAUGACUUAUCCGUUUAGGAUUUAAUAAUGGUUGGAACAAAAGCCGUGUGGAACCAAGUACCUAGAGAAAUCGUACGGUGGAAGAAAGGAGGUAUAUCUAGAGAAAAGUACAAACAUAUUCCAAACUGGUGGAACCAAGUACUAAAAAUAAUAGUGGGACCAUCACCCAAUUUAAGUUGAUUUUUUAAUUACCUUCCUAAGAUCAAUGGCUAGUAAAAUUUCAAGAAAACGUAUUUAGAAAGUACACACUGGUACCUUACGACCAUUGUAAGAAAACUCUUUUGCUUAGAUAAUUUUUGCAAACAAAUAAUUUUUGCAGCUCGCCGGCGCCCUAUCACCAGCGCGAUAGCGACAGGACGAGAGCCACGGCACCCAACCCGCGCCCGCGACAGGACGGAGCGAGAGCAGGGCAAGCCAAUCGCCGGCCGCGCGCAGGUCGCCUUCCGCUUGCCACGGCUCUGCUCCGCCAACCCUGUUUCGCCCGUUCACCGAGAAACCUGAGAUGCCCCCGACGUCCCGUGUCUCCGCCCGCUCGCCCAACCCCCACGGUAGCCUUUUCGCCUCACCCGCCCGACAGACCGGAAGCCCCAGACGCGCGCCGCCCAAGGCCAAUCACCGCCGAAGACCACCUGGAGCUCCGCCUCCUCUGCCCAAUGGCGUCGUCGGCCAAUGGCCGCCUCGCCCGAGCACUCGCCGCUCCCGGCCUUAUCCUUUCCCCACCGGAGCCCCGCCUCGACCCUCCGCGCCACCCCGGCCCUAUAAAACGGAAUCCCCUCACCGGCAAUGCCACCCCUUGCCACCGCCCGCACCUGCGCCGCCGCUUUCUCCUCUGAGCCACCGCUAAGCUUCCGUGGAACUCACCCCCUUGCGCCACCCCCACACUCCGGCGACUUCGCCGCCACCCUCAAGCCGCUUCUUCCAACACACCAGCCGCCCGCUCCUCCGCGCGGUACUAGAGCUUGCUUGUGUCCACCAGAAGCACCGCCGCCGCCGGACCACCGUCGAAGUCUCGCCGCCGCCCAAGCCUUUGUGCGUACAACCUUCCGCCCCAGCCUACUCCUUUUCGACCCCAAGGCUUCACCGGUCGACCUGGAGGUAAGCUGCUUAACCUUUUGUUUCGGUUCGUCCGACUCCUUUGUUUCGGUUCGCCCGACCUCUUUUCUUUUCGUCUCGCCCGACCUUUUCCUAUUGGCCUCGCCCGACCCUGCCAAGUUCGCCGACCCUUUCUCCGCCUCGCCCGAGGGCUCGGUUGUAACUUUUUCUUUGACCCGAGGGUAUCGGUGAAAUGUUUUCGGGGAUUCCUCUGUGUUGAGUCUGAGGACCUUGGUAUGGUUUAUCUUAAACCUGAGGGUCAGACCCUAAGUUUUCCCCAAUCCGACCCUCUCAUCCUGCUCUCCACCAACAGAAGUUGAACUCCCCCACCUUCUCUGUAGCUUUGCUACAAGUGUCCAUGUUAAAACAUGAGUGUGUUGGAAUAACCAUCUAAAUUGUUUAACCCCUGCAUUGCAUUUCCGUGUAGAGUUGAAUCUCGCCGACGGAACGUACGAGCUUCAUCCAGCACCGGAAGAAGACCCCGCUAAGGAACUGCACCCCUUCGAAGGAGAGCCCGAACCAGCGCAAGACCCCGAGGACCCGUAAGCUUUUUCUGAAGGCAAGCCCCGGUGCCUGAACUCCCUGUUUUGCUUUCAUGCCACUUAUUGAUUACUUGAUUGCGCAUUUACGUUUCGAGGAGUUGUAAUGGAACCUUAGAUGCAUAACUUAGUACCUUGUUUUUGAAUACUAGUUGCUAAGGCCGAGUAGUUGCAUUGCUUAAUAGGUUUCGGUAAAAGUCGAGUGAUCUCCUGUCACUCGCGAGUUAUAGGAGUUGAAUGUUUCAGAGUUGUCGCAACUAUAAGGAUGACGGACGGGGUCAGGCUAGUGUUCAAUGCUUGGUGGAUUGCCCCGUCUGUCUAAAUGAAAAUGAACUAAGGUCGAAACGUAUCGGUGUUCGUGAUCAAGUGAUUGAAAGUACUAAUCUCAGACCUAGUAUGGGAUGGGAAAGCCUAGUACCUGAUUGAACUGGGGCGUGGCAUACCUUCCGGCUGUCCUUGGAACGUCGUUCCCAUGGUGCAUCAUGUGGGUGCAAGUGCGGUCACAGUGCAGCAAUAGGCCGAGACUGUGGAGCAUUGCAUGCCAAAGGAAGUUGGCCCUGACACGUGCCUAAGGGAUCGAUGGGGACGGCUGACAAAUGAAGCGACCCUUCGUGGUGCGCGGAUGUCGUGAGAUUAGGUUUGCCAUGCAUGGUUAAUAAAUUCGAAUCGAUUCGUCUGGCUCUCACAGUUUGGGACUACUUGAUCGGUAUUCUGCACUAAGUAAAGAUGGAACAUGAUGAUGAUUUUAAUCUUGAUGUUUGUUAAGUAAUUGCCUGGAAACCAUGUUUGUUCAGUAUAAGUUGCUAAUCUAGAAUGGAUAAAGAACAUAGAACAUGAGCUAAAAUGUUGAAAGUAAGGACUGACUUUAGAUGCUUUUGGCAAGAAAACCCCAGAGCCAGAAAGCCUUGCAUGUCUAGGUCUCGGUCGUGUCUUUCCGACGGGUCAGUCUUGCUGAGUACUAGUUGCUCAGCCUUGUUGUGGCUAAUCUUUUUCAGGUUUUGCCAAUAGCUUGGGUGUUGGUACCACUUGGCCGACCCAGCUUCCUCCAGGCUGGACCGUCGAGUGGGAUCCUUCCUCGGAUGGCGAAGGAAGGAGUUUUUGAUGUCAUGAUCGGCUCCGUCAUGAUGUCCUGUAUCGACGUUUAAGCUUCCGCUAGUUUUCCUUUGACUUCGAACCAUGCAAAAUUUUGGUUUGAAUUUCCCAAAAAGUCUGAUGUAAUAAAUUAUUACUAUGUUGUCAUGAUGGAAUGUUGUAAUCUCUAUGCUACUCACCUUCGCGUGAGCGAUGCUUCUCGAUCCUGUUAUGUGGUUUAUCGGAGGAAAUCCGACGGUCGACCAAGUUGACUUGCUUAAAGGGCAUAAUCGCGUGUCAGGCGACUUCAAUGCAUUUUAGUCAGGUUAAUUUGAGCGGUUCCGCCACACAACGGCGACGGCAGCGAUCCCGACGAUGAUUCCCAGUCGUUUUCCUCUUCCUAGCGACGAACGUCACGGCAGCCCUGUCGAUUGCACCUAAAUUGCAACCUACAUAGCGGCACCACCAUGAACAGUGAGGAAAGGCAACUAAUUGGGGAGAAACUGGGAGAGGAAAGGAAGCCCAACCAAUUUUUGGAGAGGAAAGGAGAUGACAGACGGUGGCGUACCCUAAUUUGUCUUCUCUUCUCUCUUCUCUUGUUCUUCCUCUCCACUUUGGAUCACGGCAAAAGGGAGUAAUCAAUACUUUCUUUUCCUCCUAUACAUUUGGUUUUAUUAGAAAUAUAUUGUUCUAUCGAUUAGUAUAUAUACUUGUCAGACUAUUCUUUAAUGCUUCUGGUCAGAGGCAAUCCGUCCGUUUCUUGAUCCUGAGUCCGCUAUCAGCUCUUCUUUGAAUCCGGCAACAACAUGUGGUAAAAAGUCAAACUCGUACUAGAACGCAACGAAAUCGCAAACCUUUCUCGGCAUUCUCGCGAGCAUUUCACCUCCUUGUGCUAACCAAAAUGUGACUCCUACUGGUUUAAUAAUUUCUGUAUAGGCAGCACCGUGGUCGGCUACAAACUCAACCAGAACACCACUUAUGAAUAAGAGAGAUGGAAAAAAGAGAGAAAGUGACAGAGAAAAGGAAAUCAGAGAAGAUAAAUAAAGUGAACAGCCUGUGUAUUCAGCGAUUACUAGAUCCAGCCCACUUCAAAAUCUCCUGUGGGCAUGGCAUUUCCACAUACACAGUUCCAUAUGCUAACUGCCUCUAGAAAUGUUUCCACAAAAUCAAUAAAAAUGACUUAUCCGUUUAGGAUUUAAUAAUGGUUGGAACAAAAGCCGUGUGGAACCAAGUACCUAGAGAAAUCGUACGGUGGAAGAAAGGAGGUAUAUCUAGAGAAAAGUACAAACAUAUUCCAAACUGGUGGAACCAAGUACUAAAAAUAAUAGUGGGACCAUCACCCAAUUUAAGUUGAUUUUUUAAUUACCUUCCUAAGAUCAAUGGCUAGUAAAAUUUCAAGAAAACGUAUUUAGAAAGUACACACUGGUACCUUACGACCAUUGUAAGAAAACUCUUUUGCUUAUAUUGAGUUUUGCAAACAAAAAUUGUUAAAGGAUAUAUCAUUCUAUAUAGAUUUAACUAUAUUUAUAACAAAAUAUACACAGCUAGAACACGAGGUUAGUUAUGUUAAAUAGAUUAUAAAAUGUGGUUUCAUAAUGUGUUCAUUUGAUAUUAUUUUAAUGUGCAUUUUGUAACGUGUCGACGUAGCGCCAACUUCUUUCUAUUCUUGGAUACCCAUGCAUACUCUGGAUAUGUACCACUGGUGCUCUUGGCUAGCUUGCAGAGACGCACAAAGACGUUAAAGAGCGUGAGUCACGACUUUGUCUCAUCUCUGAAAGCCUAGACCAUCGAAGAUUGACCUUGCUUCUUUGCUGGUCCUCCAGCCAUCGUGUAUCAUGCUAUUUUUUUCUUAUUAUAUAAACCAAUAUUCCGGUCAUCCAUGAGGAUUGCGUAAGGUAACCCUUGUACCAAAUUAUGAAAUUAAAGGUAUUGUGCAUCAAGGUAUGAAAUAUCUCACUGUGUCACAAAGAAAAAAACUUGUGUCUUCUAAUGAAAUCUAUAUGGCAUUUCACUACUACAAAAAAUAUUUUUAGCGGCGGUUGAAACCACAAUUUCAAAGGUGGAUCUAGCAACCGCCCUUCUUUUUGCAGCUUAAAAUAGGUAAUUUGCAGCGUCGGUUGUUGAAUUUGUGUAUGAAGUAAUAAUGGAAUUUAAUUUAGUUUGUGAAUGUGUUGCCACAACAACUCGUACAAUGUUGCAUCAUAUUAAUUCUAGCUUAUGCAAUGAUUCUUUCUUUCAGCAUCCUUCUCUCUUCCAGGUUAUCAAGCAUCAUAUAUGGCAGUGUAUCAGACAACUUAUGAGUCAGCAACUUGUACCAACGUGCUUGCUCUUGUAUCAUGAAGGACUCCAAUGAUAUGAAGAGCCUAUGCUGAGGACAACAUAGGAUCGUGUAUCAUGCUUUGUGCCAGUUGUUCGUUUGCAACUAUUAUUUGUCUGUACGUAUCAUGGACCAAACGACGAGUCACUAUCUUUUGCUUUCUGUACAUGCAUGGCACGUCAUUGAAGCAUUGCCUUCUGCUUUUGGAUAGCCGCACUACAUAGUUUGGAUAAGUAGCUUGUGGCCUUUGUAACGACUUGAUAUGUUCUUGGGAAGCCUCUCGCUGGCUCGCCGUCCAAGUCUUCAAGAGGCUGGUAUAACCUCUUGGCUGCGAUCAAUCAUGUAUCACGCCAUCUCCUGUUGUUUAGAUGAAAACCAACAUUCCAUGCAUGCAUUGAAAUAAAGGCACCAAGUGCUGCGUCAAUCAACGGUUGUUUGAAUGAUGUUCUCCAGAAAUACUUUUUAAAAGUGUAUGGUUUUUCUCUCCAGCUAUUAUCCAGUACAGUAGUAGCCAAUCCGUUCCUGAAAAUAGUAGCCAAUCUGUUCCCGAAAAUCAAUUUCUAGGUAUACCAAGGAGUGUGUAGGUGGUGGUGCCACGUUUUUUUUAAAAACUUUUAUCAUUGAUUUCUAGGUCUGGGUAACCACGUCAACCACCUUUCGAACUCCUAUUUUCAGGAGCAGGCUCAUUCUAUGGCCUGCCCCUAGAAAUGCAUUUACAAGGGGCAGGUCAUACCACGCUCCUCCAUAAUGCACGAACGGGCUUUGCACCUGCUCUUAAAGAUACGUUUUCGACUGGUCCUAGAAAAUAUUUCCAUAGCGGUGGUUCUUUUGCAUUUCACGUGUUUUCACCAAAAAAUAUUUUUGAAAUCCUCAUCAAAAAUAUAUUUACUAGCAAUAUUGUUUUUGCUGCUAGAUAAUUGUUGUAAAUAUGGCACAUAUAAUGGUUAAAAUGUGAGUCUAAGUUGAAUGAGGUAAAGUGAAGGAUCACAAAAAUCCACUGGCAAGCCAUUUGUAGUUCUCAUGCUUCAAUGUUGUCUUAUGGUGAAUCCUAUACAUUACCGCAUAACUUGUGAUAAUUUAAAGAGUGAAUUCCCUCAAUGUCAUUAGAAUUUUUAUGGAUUCCUUCAAUGCUAUUAAAAUUUUUCACUUCCUUUCACCGGCACUAUUCUAAAUUUCCACGCCAUUUGCCACUAUAUUGCCACUAUUCUAAAAAUUUAAAACUCCUACGUCAUAUUGCAUUAGGCUGCUGACGUAUAUUAAGGUAUGAAUCUCCCGAAGGAGAUGGAGAGCCUGUGCUGAGAUGAGUAUCAUACUUUGUGUCUGUUUUUCAUUUCCACGCUACUUGCCACUAUUUGUCCAUAUCGAAGGACUAAACAGCGUGGCACUAUCUUUUGCUUUGUGCACAUGCCACGUUGACGAAGCAUCACGUACCUUCUGCUUUUGGAUAGCAGCUACUUAUUCUCGAUAAGCAACUUGUGGCCGGUAUAGACUCCAUAUGUAAUCGCUAGCUAGGGUUCAAACGGCAAACGGCAACACCAACUAAUUUUUUUGAAAACAUUAGCAGGAGUUAUGCCUAUUCAUUUAAGUAGAAGAGAAUGUUCUGAUGGGGGUUGCAACAACUUUUGGUACGUGACUACCUAGAUAGUACAACGAACCAUAACAUAACUUUGUCUAAGCCCUCAGCAUAAGAGUUGUUGGCAUGCCGCCUGGCUAUGCCGUCCUGUAUCACAUCAUCUCCUGUUUUCAUCUGACUUAUGUAAAAGAUGCUCUCUUUUUUAAUUCAACUAUGGUUGACCCUACUAUUAGUAGAUCCAGCCCACUUAAAGAACCUCAUGUGGACAUGGCAUUUCCACGCGCAGUGCAUGCGGGAGCUGUCUCCAGAAAUAGUUCCACAAAAUCCAUAAAAAAAUAUCGUAUUCUUCUGAUUAUAAUGAGAUUUGUGAAGAAAUUUUUGAAAAGGAUAUAUCAUGAACAUGCCCAUCACUAGUAACACAGGUACUUUCCUCUAUACUGAAAUAUAUAGCUUUGUCCGAAGUUAAAAUACAUUCUAUUUCCCUUUUCAUAGUAUAAACCAAUAUUCCCGUCAUCCAUGCAUUCUUGAAUGCGUCAGUUUCGUUUCCAGAGCCUCCAUGGGGUAACCCUUGUACCAAAGACUAUUCGGUAUUCUUGUACAGGCGCACAAAAGACAUCAAGGAGCGUGAAUCACGACUUUGUCUCAUUUCUGAAAGCCCUCGCUCGGAGAUGCACGAAGACACCAAGAACCUUGAAUAUGAUGAUUCUUGGUAAAAUAAAUCAGCUGGGGUUUGUUCUUGUUUAUCUUUUGCGAGCCUGACACCAAUUGCCGUGAAUCACGAUUUUAUCUCAUCUUUGAAAGACCUCACCAUAUAUAAGAGGUGGACCUUGCUGGUGCUCCAGCAGUCCAACCAUGCUGUAUCAUCACGCUAUUUCCUUUUUCUUAGCAAACCAAUAUUCAAGUUUUGUGGAGAGCCUUCAUGUGUUAAACCAUGUACAUCACAUUAUCACAAAGACGCAUGCACAUCAAAGUUUUGAAUAUGUCAAGAAAAAUUCCUUAUGUCGACCUCUCAUGCAAUGGAUACGACAUUAUACAAAAACAUAGAAAUUAAAGCUAGCUAGGUUAAUUAAUAAGAUUUAAGUAGCCAAAGAAUAUCAUGAAUUUCUGUACCUUUUCUCCGGCAUCCAACAUACAUGUAAAUAUAUACUUAUGUUCUACACUACUGUAGAACAACUUAUCCAUGUGACUAUGUCAUCCAAUAAUAUCCAUGCAGUCCAAAGUCCAAUGUUACCUAUGGGUCAUCUGGGUCAACCGGCAGCCGCGUAGGGCCCGGGGCUCGAAUACACCAACCAAAGUCCAACUUUACCUAUGGAACAUCAUUCAAACUUCAUUAUCAUGAUCAAUACCUACCAGCAUAUAGUGAUGGGAGUUGAGCAUGAUAUACGGUGGAUUCCACGGAGUGACAGGAGUAUUCAAAAAAUUUCAAAAAAAUAUGAGUAGAAUAGAAGGUUUUGAGUUUCCUACUGCUUGUUGUUUGACCUAUAUGGUUCUAUUAAUUCAUUUAUUGCUCUAAUACCAUCCCUGUGGGGACUUCCCUUCGGAAAUCCCGCUGAUUACCUAUAUCAGUCCCCGGAUCGGUAGCUGAUACAGCCCUCAUCACAGAUUAGCAGCAAAACAAUAAAAGACGCAUAAAGUUAUGGAAAAAUAGUUUUUCAAUUUGCAUAGCGGGGUGGUGCAGUUGCCCACUCCACAGCCAGAAUGAAUCUGGAACUUCUAACCUGUUCGACAGAAGCAAGGCUGAGUAUACUUAUAGUUUGUAAUCCUAGCAUUAAAAUUAUAUAAAAUGCAUAUAUGAUCAAGGAAAGGAAGAGGAGGUUUGGUUUUAUCAAGAGACUCAUUUUAUGUAAGGUCAUGUGAGUUUUGGGAAAGGAAAAGAAAGAAAGCGCUUUUACGAAGUUGUUGGCCCCGGAGGGGGAAUGCAUGACGGUCGACAAGGAUAGGGCGGUCGGAGGUGAUGCAUGGCGAGGGGGGAAGUACGGCAAGGAUAAGGGAGGAGGGGGAGGGGAUGGGGCUGCCUUGCUUGGGGUGAAGGUGGCCAAGGGGAGCCGCACCGGCAGGGCGGCGCUGGGCGCGGCAACACUGGCGAGCGGGCGCAGGCCACGCGUUAGCGGGCUGUGGCGGAGGGCGCCAGUGCGAGCGAGCCGUGUGUGCGUGCUGGGUUGACUCGGGCAUGGGAGGAAGCGGAGGUGAGCAGGGCCGAAAUGGGGAGUGGCCGAAACGGAGGUUGCGGCCCAUUCGACAUUCUGGUUUGGUUUUUCAUUUUUUUGAGAAUAGGUUUGAAUCCAAAUUUUAAAUGGAUUUCAAAUUUAAAUGAAAUUUGAGUUGCAGACUAGGAUUAGACAUGAAAUUAGGGCUUUUUCGAAGAGUUUGAGGUUUGAUGAUAUUGGAGUAUGGCUAGAUUUGAAUAGAGGCAUUGUAGAGGUUUGGAUGAAAUUAAUAUUCAAAUUAAAUUGGAUAUCACUUCUAGGAUUUUAGGAAAAUAAAUAUUAUUCCUAGGAUAUUAGGGAUUUAAAUAAUCUGAUGAUGAGAGGGGUUUGGCAUAGACUCAAGGAUUUGCAUAUUGGAUUUAGAUAAUAUUUAGAGGGAAUUUGGCAUAGGGUCUGGAUGGAGUUAAUAUUUGAAUGAAAUGCAAAUAUUCUUCCCAAGGUUUCUGGAAAGAGAAGUUUAUCGAGAAAAUACUUCUAGGAUUGGAGAGAAAAGAGUGUUCACGAAGAGUUCCAAGGGCACCCAAAUGCAACACACAUGAUGGUAACUAAUGCAAGAUUUACUUAUAAAAAGGUUUUGAAUAUUUGGGGAAAAUUAUGUUUAGUUUAUAGUAAAGGUUAUUUGUUGUCGGUGUCGCAGCAUAUAUACAUUUGCAGUCACUAUGACUGCAUUAUGUAUAGCUGCAAGAUAAAUGUGUAAGUGUGUGUGCUAUAAUUGUAUGGCUUUAAUUUAACAUUUAUGCAUCCAUACCACAGUAUAUGUAUUUGUCAACCACAAUAAUAAUAUAAUAUCGGUGUACUACAUCUCCUGUCUUCAAUUUGCUUAUUUACUUUUGAUGCUUCUAGGGUUUUUCCAUUAUACACUAACUUAUCUAUAGCUAGCCAUAUAACUGGAACAUACCAUAUAAAGUCCAAACCAUCGACAACUGGAACAUGCCAUAUAAGCCCUCCUUUCGUGCCUCGUGCCGCUCCCACUCUAGACUUUUAGGCACGUUGGGCCAUGACGACACGGAAUGACAAUAAGUUUUUUCCUAGGCCCAUGCACGACCCAUGGCAUGGUGGCAUGGCUCUCAGAAUAUAUGAUGCUACCAUUCGUCUUCUCACGUAUAUAGUUUCUAAAUUAGUAGAGGGAUUGAACUUGGAUAUAUAGAUUGUGGCUAUUGUAAUGACUUGAUAUAUUCUUGGAAAGCCCGCGCCGUCCUAGAGGCUGGCAAGACUGCUUGGCUGCCAGGACUCGUGUAUCAUGCCAUCUCCUAUUUUUUAGUGCAAACCAACAUACCUGUAAAAUACUAAUGUUCUACACUAUGGUAGAACAACUCAUCUACGGAUUGAACAUGGAUAUAUGACAUUGUAGGUUGAUGUUAGGAUUGCCCGUGGUGAUAUGGGAGGCUGCAAAAUUUAAGAUUUUAUAAAUAUUUAUUUGUAUGAUUCUAAUCAUGAAAGGUAGAUUUUAUGAUUUUCUUAUAUGAACAUUGUUUAUGCCAAGCUUUAUGGAAGGCGGCACGGACGAUUUUCAAAGGACCAGCUGCAGAUUAGCUGAUGGGCUAUUUUUGUGCCAUCCUAGUCCAAGCACAGCUGAGAUACCAUACGUGUCUGUGCUGUGCUGCCCAUCAUGCUGAGGUUCUUGGCAUGGCACGGCUCUUGUGUUUGUGUCGUGCUAGCACGUCCCAAAAUUUAUCGUGUCGUACCGUAAUUUGGCUAUGCCAAAAUAUCAUGUUUCAGUUGGUCCAUAAAUAACACGGACCAGGUCACAGCUGAAAUUUUAGCCAUACCCUUGUUAUUUGUGAAUAGGAAAUGUUGGUUCUCAGUAAAUUGCUCUGACGAUUACUUCUUCCAUCUGGAAAAAAUAAGUGUGUACUUUAUUCCAAAACUACAGGUGGUCCAGUCCUCGUGAUGUCUGUCGUUAAGCAAUUGCCUAUUCUUCAAGCUUGCACAGACGCACAAUGACACUAAGGUGCGUGAAUCACGACUUUGCCUCGUCUUUGAAAGCCCUCGCAAUUAGAUCGACCUUUAUUGCUGCUCGCUGUUGAUGCACAAAGCUAGACACCAAGAACCUUAAAUAUGGCGAUUUUUGGUAAAAUAUAUCAGAUGCUGUUUGUUCUUUGCUACCUUUCGCGCGAGCUUGACAGCAAGUGCCGUGAAUCACGACUUUGUCCAUCUUUGAAAGACCUCACCAUCAGGGAUGGACCUUGCUGGUACCUGGUCCACCAGACGUCCUGUAUCAGGCUAUCUCCUUUUUCUUUGCAAACCAAUAUUCCCUGCAUGCAUGGAUGACGGAUGCUUAAAGACACAGAGUGCGUGCGUGAAAAUCGUUUUGUGGAUCCUACACGAGCUAAACCUUGUACAGCAUAUUAACAUAAAGACUAUGUUAUGCAUCAAUGUUUUGAAUAUCUCACUAUCUAUGAUAGGAAGAAAAACUCCUUAAAAGACAUUAUAUGAAAACAUUGAAGCUGGGUUAAGUAAAUAAGAUUUAACUAGCCAAAGAACACUUUGAAUUCCUGUACCUUUUUUCCCGGCAUCCAACAUACAUGUAAAUACUAAUGUUCUACACUACGGUAGAACAACUCAUCUACGUGAACCUAUCCAUGCUAGUUCAAAGCCCAAGUUUACCGAUGGGUCAUGCCGCGCAGGGGCUCUAACACAAUGACCAGCAUGGAUACAUAAUAUGUGCGUAGGAUAUUGAACAAGCCCGGCGAAAUGGAUACUCUGGUUACAACAUCAAAAUAAUUAAAAACCCAUUAAUUAUGGAAGUUUUCUUUGAAUUCAGCUAGCGAUAUGGUUCCAGUUGAUCAUUAAUAUAGCAGUGUUUCAGAGCAAAUUGCCUUAUGCAGCUUAAUUAUUUAGCCCCUAUUAGAUCCCUUCAAAAUGAAGAAUUUGAAGGGAUCCAACUCGCAGCCUCAACUAAGAGAGAUGAUUCAUACAAUGAUCAGGCUUUACUAUUUGCUCUAGAGAGAUGAUUCACGCAGACAUUUACAUUAUUUUUGAAACCUAAUCUCCAAGCCAUCGUCUCCGAUUUUAAUUUGAAUGAACUAAAGCAUUGGCAGAUGACACUUGGCCAUCAUUAGACCAGAGAAGGGUUUUUUUUCAGUAACCCGCUUGAGAUAGUGCUUUGACGCGUAAGUAUUUUUGGCAAGCAAUUGCUGCUACACCCCAUCCUCAGUAAAAAGCAUAAGUGAAAAUCUCUUCACUUUGUAAAUCCCUCUCCUGACUCAAACUAGCAGUUCUAUUCUUCAAAGGUUCAUACCUGUAACAUUAACCAUCCUCAGUCAUCCUAAGUUCACAUUGUGCAUGCAUGCAUUGCACAACAAGCAAAGGCACAAGGAAUGUGCUUGUGGCUCUGUGGGCCGGGGAACUCCCCCACAGUUUAUCUGAAAAAAAAUUGUGCAUGUCGCUCAUUUUGUAUUAUUCCUAGGCCUAGAAAAAUGAUGAGCUGUUUUUUGGCCUUUUCUUUCUUAGAGACCGAAGAGAAGAGAAAGAAUGGGGCAUUCGCUCCCUAUAAAUACAGCAUGCUUGUAGCUGCACGAGCAUCAGCAGCUCGCAGCUUGAUAAGCACAUAUUCCAUUCACAGUAAUAGCAAAGCAUCGAAAUGGCUUCUGCUGCUAAGACCAAGAUGGUUGCCAUUGGCAUUAUGAUGGCCAUCCUGUUCGUCGGGAUAGCCUCUGCUACGCCGGCACAAGAGGUGUGCGUGGACACGACAAAAGAAGUUCCACGCGACGACACCUGCAUCUGCUCUAAGAACUGUGCCUGUGCUGGCAUGUGCAUCCUGCAGGGUGAGGGGGAUGUUAAGACCUGUUUCGUCGAUUGUGUCCUAAAGAACGACUGCCAGUGCCCUCCUAAGGACCAGGGCGCCGAGAAGAAGACGGACGGCUAAGUUGACCGUAAUGCCAUGCCUGAGUUCUCAGGCCACCAUCAUGUUGCAAUAAUGAUGUAUUGUGUUCUUCCCUCAUCUCCCAUGCAUGCAUGCAUAUGUCAUCAUUGCCGUAUGCUUGAGGGCAGGGUUAUUGUUGUCGGGUGUCAUAGCUUAUAUAUAGCUGCAAAAUAAAAUGUUCAAGUGUGUGUUUGUGUUAUCACGUGUAUGGUUUCUAUAUCGAAGUUGUAUGCAUGCAUAUCAUAUUUGGUAUCCAUAAUAAUGUAAUAUUGAUGUACAUGUGAUGUGUUCCAUUUGCUCCUAUUUACUUUGACGUCGUUAUUUACUCUACGGCCUUCUGGGUUUCUUCCAUAUGGUACACCAACUUAUAUAUUGUUGGAACAUGCUUGUAACACCUCAAAACAGCAGCAAAGAUAAAAGAACAGGGCACACGGAAG
rnacentral:lncRNA from 1 species